UUUCGGGAUGGCAUUUGAAAUGUAAGUGAAGUAAAUACCUAAUAAAAAAAUUGGAGAAAAAAAAAGUAGGUUUUCAAAAAUCUAAACCUAGACUGUCCCAUACAUUUGGAAAUGUUGUUUUUCAUUUUCAUUAAGUUCUAAAGUGUCUUUAAUGUCUUUUUUUUCCUGUGACCCUUUUUAAUUCAGGAGUGAGUUGUUCAGUUUCUUUGAGUUUGUAAGUUUUCUGUUUUCUAUGCUAUUGUUGAGCUCUCUAUUGUUUAUGCUGGUGUUGAAAGCCUGCUUUAACCAUUGGUGGUUAGAUAGUUUGAAUGGUAUUAUUUCCAGUCUUUCUCCUUUUAUAGUUUGUAUUAUGGCUUGUUUAUCAGUGGGAGUAGGUUAUUAAAAUUACCCAUUAUCACUGUAAGAGGGCCAACAUUUAAUUUAAGCUGUAGUCGUGUGUUUCUUUUAUAAACUUGGCUAGCCUUGUGUUGGUGCAGUGAUGUUAAGAACUAAAACAUCCUGUUUGAGAAAUUGUCCUUUGAUGAGAAUAUAGUGUACUUUCCCAUGUCUUAUUAGUUGUAAUUUGAAGUCUAUUUUGUCAAAUAUUUUGAGUAUUGCUAAAUUAGCUUGCUUCAUAGGUCCAUUUGCUUAUAUAUUUUUCCAUCAUUUUAUCUUCAGGUGAUAUUUAUCCUUGACUUAAUGUGUGUUUUAUAGAUGUAGCGGAAGUAUAGAAUCUGUUUUUACAUAUUUUCUGUUAGUCUGUGUUUUUUUUUUAAUUAGGAGAUUGACCUCAUUAAUAUCAAGAGUCAUUAAUCAGCAGUGUACAUUGAUUUUUUUAGAUAUUUUGAAAGUUUUUUUUUAAUUGCUUCUAUUUGCUGGCCUAAAAUUAUUUAUUCCUUGGAUUUCCUUUUUCCCCCUUUCAACUAUUUUAUUUUAUUUUUAUAAUUGGAUACUUUCUUUAUUUACAUUUUAAAUGUUAUCACCUUUCCUGGUGUCCCCUGGAAACCUCUUAUCCUGCUUCUAUGAUGGUGUUCCCCCACCCACCCAUCCACUCCCACUUCCCAGUACUGGCAUUCUUCUACACUAGGGCAUUGAGCCUUCAUAGGACCAAGGGCUUCUCCUCCAAUUGAUGCCCAACAAGGCCAUCCUCUGCUACAUAUGCAGCUAUAGCCAUGGGUCCCUCCAGCUGUACUCUUUGGUUUGGUUGUACUUUUAGUUCCUGGGAGCUCUGGGGGUACAGGUUGGUUCAUAUUGUUGUUCUUCCUAUGGGGUUGCAAACCCCUUCAGCUCCUCAGUCUUUUCUCCAAGUCCUCCAUUGGGGACCCUGUGUUCAGCCCAACGGUUGGCUGAGAGCAUCUGCCUCUGUAUUUGUCAGGUUCUGGCAAAGCCUCUCAGGAGACAGCUGUAUCAGGCUUCUGUCUGCAAUCACUUCUUGGCAUCUACAAUAGUGUCUGGGUUUGGUGACUGUAAUUGGGAUGGAAUCCCAUGUGGGGCAGUCUCGGGAUGGCCUUUCCUCCAGUCUCUGCUUCACACUUUGUCUCCACAUUUCCUCCGGUGAAUAUUUUGUUCCUUCUUCUAGGAAGGACCAAAGCAUCCACACUUUGAUUUUCCUUCUUCUGGAGCUUCAUGUAGUCUGUGAAUUGUAUCUUGGAUAUUCCAAGCCUUCUGGCAAAUAUCCUCUUAUCAGUGAGUGCAUACUAUGUGUGUUCUUCUGUGAUGGUGUUACCUCACUCAGGAUGAUAUUUUCUAGGUCCAUCCAUUUGCCUAAAAACUUCAUGAAGUCAUUGUUUUUAAUAGCUGAGUAGUACUCUAUUGUGAAAAUGUACCACAUUUUCUGUACCCAUUUCUCUGUUGAAGGACACCUGGUUUCUUUCCAGCUUGAGCUUUCAUAAAUAUGGCUUUUAUAAACAUGGUGGAUCAAGUGUCCUUGGAAAAUCUUUUGGGUAUAUGCCCAGGAGUGGUAUAGAUGUGUCCUCAGGUAAUACUAUGUCCAAUUUUCUGAGGAACUGCCAGACUGAUUUCCAGAGUGGUUGUACAAGUUUGCAAUCCCACCAACAAUGGAGGAGUGAGUGUUCCUCUUUCUCCAUAUCCUCGCCAGCAUCUGCUGUCACCUGAGAUUUUGAUCUUAGCCAUUCUGACUGGUGUGAGGUUGAAUCUCAGGGUUGUUUUGAUUUGCAUGUCUGUGAUGUUGAUUGAUGUUUUCUAUUUAUAUCUUUCUGUAGAACUGGAUUUGUAGAUAGAUCAUUUUAAAAUUUUAUUUUAUCAUGGAGUGUCUUUCUAUUUUCACUUAUCAUGAUUAAAAUUUUUGCUAGUUAUAGUAGUCUUGGCUGGCAUAUGUAACCUCUUAAAGUUUAUAGAACAUCAUCUAGGCCUUCUGGCUUUUAGAGUCUCCCUUGAAAAGUUGCAUGUUAUUCUUAUUGGUCUGCAUUUAUAUAUUACUUAGUCUGUAUUUCUUGCAACUUUUAAUAUUCGACUUUUUCUACAACUUUAGUGUUUUGGUUAUUAUGUGUGGAGGGAAUUUUUUUUUUUUGGUCCAAUAUAUUAGGUUUUCCUUUUGCGUUUUGUAACUUGAUAGGCAUUUCAUUCUUCAGGUAAGGGAAAUUUUCUUCUCUAUAUUUUAAAAAAUAUUGGACGCACCUUUGGCAUGGGUUUCUUCUCCUUCCUUUAUUCCAGUUAUUCAUAGGUUUUGUCUUUUCAUAGUGUUUCAGAGUUCCUAUCCAGGAACAUUUAGAUUCACCAGUUUCUUUGACAGGGUUAUUCUUUCUUCUAUGUCUUCAAUGCCUGGGAUUCUUUCUUCUACCUCUUGUAUUCUUUUGGUGAGGCUUGUACUUGAGGUUCCUGAUUUUAAGUUUCUAAAAUUUUCAUUUUCACAUUUCCCUCAGUUUGAGUUCUCUUUACUGAUUCUAUUUCUAUUUUCAGGUAUUGAACCACUUUAUUCAUUUCCGCUACUGCUUGUUUGCCUCUCAUAGAUUUAAGUGACUUAUUUAUUUCUCUUUGAGGCCUCCUAUCAUAUUCAUAAAGGCAUUAUCAAUUAAACUCCUUGUCUUAGGCUACAGCUGUUAUAUUUCUAGGGGUCUACUAUAGGAGUAUUUUUAGGAUCUAGAAAAGAAAUAUUUUCCUGAGUGUUAUAGGAUUUUUAAUUCUGGAGACUAGGCUUCUGGGCUGGGUUCAUUGUUUUAUGGGUGCUUGUAUCUGGUCUUCUGUUUGUUGGGUUGAGGUUUUAUUCAUUGGCUUCUAUUGCCCUUUUCAGCAUAUAGGAAUGUGUGUGGGAUGUAUAAUGCCUGGUAGCUAAUUCUCCAGGGUGCUGCCAGGUGUGGCCACAGGUGUUUCUAGUUAGAAUGUGCAUUGGGAACAAAUGUUUAGGAACAGAAAUUGACUGAAAGCUAGGGUUGGGGAUGAAGAUGGGGCUGAGUUGGCACAUGAUCUUCAGGAAGAGGAAGUAAUACAGCAUGCUCCAACAAGAUCUUCUUAGUCUACUAGGAAGAAGCAUAGAGAGUAAGGUACAGAGUGAGGCAAGACCACACCAUGUAGUCUGCUACAGAUCUGGGAAUGGAUGUGGGGGAUUUCAUUUGGAGGAGAAGAGGAAAUGUAAAAUCUGAGGUUUGCCUUCCUACUUAGUUUACAUUCUUGGUUCUCUGGAAGGCUUAUCUGUUUUUUUGUUUAUUUGUUUGUUUGUUUUUUGUUUUCUUUUUUUGUUUUUGUUUGUUUUUUUUUCCUGCAAGGUAGUCACCUGAAUAGUUGGUAGCUGGGACAAUUGGAUGAGAAGGCAGGAGUUGGAGAACUGCUGGACAUGUGAGCUGGGAGCAAUGGAAGGUCUCAGCAACAGAUCUGCUAUAGAGCUGGGGGCAAGCGAGGGGUUGGAGGGUGAUUGGAUUUGGAGUAUCUGAGGGAAAGAAGAAGAUCAUCUAAAAGCCUACCUUCUUGAGUAGUAAUUUUAAUUUUUCUCUUGACAUGUCUGUUUUCACAAUUCCAUGGACACAGCAUUGCAUCAUCUCCAAAUCACCAGAGUUUAUUUAAAAAGUUCUUUUGGCAUCUCCCCUGCUGCCACCAGCUAUCUGAAUUUUAGUAUCUGUAGUCAAAUAUGUUUUGCUCCUGUACCUGUUAACAUCGAAAAAGGUGUUCUUUUUAGCAUGUUAGCUCAGGCUUGAGGAUUUUGACUGUUCUUCUCAGCCUUUCCCAAAGAUAAUUAUUUUUCUUUUGAAGAAAAAAAAAAGUUUUCCUCCUGAUAAAAUUUCUAAACUUUGGGUGGUUUUCUCAGGAAAUGUAAAAGUCGUUCCUCAUUCAUGUUGGAGUUGUCCUCCUAUUCCUUUCACGUUGUGAGCCAUGGCAUCAAUCUUUCAUGUACUUGUUUCAAGAUGCUGCAUUAACUGUUUCCUGGAGCUACAUGAACAAAUGCCUGUUCUCCUCACAUAAGGUUGCAAUGUCAGAUGCAAAUCACAGUUGCAUCCAAGUCCAACUUUCUAGGUGACCCAAAAGCAGCCACAUCACAGCAAAGUCUCAUAGAGGCAUGGAUGAAGCUACCUUAUAGUAGCCGCAUCCUGGAGUUCUUCAUUUUCGUAUAGACUUUCAUGUUCUAUUGUUACAGAGUUCAAGAUCAAUUGGAAAUACCACAUGCCUGUCAAGUUUUAACAAGACUGCAGGAACUACUACCUAGACUGAAUCUAGCAAGGAUUUUUAAAGGCAAAAACUGCAUUUACACAAUUACUUUCCCAAGGACAUGAGAUAAAAUCCUAAGUCUUUUGCAUGGAGCAAUUAAGCAAAUAUUCUCCUCCCUCUUUCUACAAUAUAUGUUGCCAUUAUUAUACACCUAGAUAUCAUUUUUCUGUUCUGAUCAGCUAGAUCCUGGCUUCUUGGGUCAAGGUAAUCACUCU
rnacentral:lncRNA from 1 species